AUGAAAGCUGGAGCUAGCUCCGGCGGAUUAGUGGCGAACGGGUGAGUAACACGUGAGCAAUCUGCCCUUGACUCUGGGAUAACUGCGGGAAACUGUAGCUAAUACCGGAUACUUUCCUCGGUGGGCAUCCACUGAGGAAGAAAGAAUUUCGGUCAAGGAUGAGCUCGCGACCUAUCAGCUAGUUGGUGAGGUAAAGGCUCACCAAGGCGACGACGGGUAGCCGGCCUGAGAGGGUGACCGGCCACACUGGGACUGAGACACGGCCCAGACUCCUACGGGAGGCAGCAGUGGGGAAUAUUGCACAAUGGACGAAAGUCUGAUGCAGCAACGCCGCGUGAGGGACGAAGGCCUUCGGGUUGUAAACCUCUU
rnacentral:rRNA from 1 species